GACGAACGCUGGCGGCGUGCCUAAUACAUGCAAGUUGAGCGCUGAAGGUUGGUACUUGUACCAAUUGGAUGAGCAGCGAACGGGUGAGUAACGCGUGGGUAAUCUGCCUUUGAGCGGGGGACAACAUUUGGAAACGAUUGCUAAUACCGCAUAAAAACUUUAAACACAAGUUUUAAGUUUGAAAGAUGCAAUUGCAUCACUCAAAGAUGAUCCCGCGUUGUAUUAGCUAGUUGGUGAGGUAAAGGCUCACCAAGGCGAUGAUACAUAGCCGACCUGAGAGGGUGAUCGGCCACAAUGGGACUGAGACACGGCCCAAACUCCUACGGGAAGCAGCAGGAGGGAAACUUCGGCAAAGGACGAAAGGCUGAACGAGCAACGCCGCCGGAGGGAAGAAGGUUUUCGGAUCGGAAAAAUCUGUUGGUAGAGAAGAACGUUGGGGGGAGGGGAAAGCUCAUAAAGUGACGGUAACUACCCAGAAAGGGACGGCUAACUACGUG
rnacentral:rRNA from 1 species